rnacentral:rRNA from 1 species
UACGUAGGAUGCAAGCGUUGUCCGGAAUUAUUGGGCGUAAAGAGCGCGCAGGCGGUAUGACAAGUCAGAUGUGAAAGAGGCCGGCUUAACCGGCAAGGGUCAUUUGAAACUGUCAGACUGGAGUGCAGCAGAGGAUAGUGGAAUUCCCGGUGUAGUGGUGAAAUGCGUAGAUAUCGGGAGGAACACCAGUGGCGAAGGCGACUAUCUGGGCUGCAACUGACGCUGAGGCGCGAAGGCUAGGGUAGCAAACAGG